UGGGGAAUAUUGGGCAAUGGGCGAAAGCCUGACCCAGCGACGCCGUGUGGGCGAUGAAGGCCUUCGGGUUGUAAAGCCCUGUGAGGUGGAAAGAAGGGCCCAGAGGUUAAUACCCUUUGGGUCUUGACGGUACCACCAGAGGAAGCACCGGCUAACUCCGUGCCAGCAGCCGCGGUAAUACGGAGGGUGCAAGCGUUGUUCGGAAUUACUGGGCGUAAAGGGCGCGUAGGUGGUUGUGUAAGUCAGAUGUGAAAUCCCGAGGCUCAACCUUGGAACUGCAUCUGAUACUGCAUGACUCGAGUACAGCAGAGGGAAACGGAAUUCCUGGUGUAGAGGUGAAAUUCGUAGAUAUCAGGAGGAACACCGGUGGCGAAGGCGGUUUCCUGGGCUGAUACUGACACUGAGGCGCGAAAGCGUGGGGAGCAAACAGG
rnacentral:rRNA from 2 species